AUGCCCAAUCCAUUGACGCCGGAAAGGGGCCGCGUGGAUGAUGAUGCCGCGAAUAUCCGAUAUGCCAGCAUAAUAUCGACUCACGGCACAAUGGCGCUCGUCUGCGUUCUGUCAGGGCCUGUUUUGGUAAUGCCUUUCUUUCUGUUAUGCGCUACGCUGAUCGUCUGAGUAUAUGGCCUGGCCAUGCUGCCGGGUCAUUUU
rfam:Salmonella enterica subsp. enterica serovar Typhimurium str. LT2, complete genome.